GUCUCUUUCUUAAUUGUUGAAUUUAACUUUUAAGUGAAAAGGCUUAAAUUUUUUAAAGGGACGAUAAGACCCUAUAAAGUUUAUAUAAAAAAAUAGAGUUUAAAAAAAUUAAACUUAUAAAUAUAAAAACUAUUUUUAUAUUUUGUUGGGGCGACACAGAUAUAAUUUUAUUUAACUGUUAUAACAAGAGACACGUAUAAGUGAGUGUAAUAAUGAUCCUAUAAAUAUAGAUUAAAAGACUAAGUUACUUUAGGGAUAACAGCAUAAUUUUUCUUAAGAGUCCUUAUCGAAAGAAAAGAUUGUGACCUCGAUGUUGAAUUAAAAGUCUUUGCAAAGCAGCAUUUGCAGGAAGAAGGUCUGUUCGACCUUUAAAGUUUUACAUGAUUUGAGUUCAAACCGGUGCAAGCCAGGUU
rnacentral:rRNA from 1 species